GACGAACGCUGGCGGCGUGCUUAACACAUGCAAGUCGUACGGUAAGGCCCUUUCGGGGGUACACGAGUGGCGAACGGGUGAGUAACACGUGAGUAACCUGCCCACAACUUUGGGAUAACGCUAGGAAACUGGUGCUAAUACUGGAUAUGUGCUCCUGCUGCAUGGUGGGGGUUGGAAAGCUCCGGUGGUUGUGGAUGGACUCGCGGCCUAUCAGCUUGUUGGUGGGGUAGUGGCCUACCAAGGCGGCGACGGGUAGCCGGCCUGAGAGGGUGACCGGCCACAUUGGGACUGAGAUACGGCCCAGACUCCUACGGGAGGCAGCAGUGGGGAAUAUUGCACAAUGGGCGCAAGCCUGAUGCAGCAACGCCGCGUGCGGGAUGACGGCCUUCGGGUUGGAAACCGCUUUCAGCAGGGACGAAGCUUUUUGUGACGGUACCUGCAGAAGAAGCACCGGCUAACUACGUG
rnacentral:rRNA from 1 species